AUGCAAUUGGGUCUCCGCUUGGAUCUUCAGGUCGUUAGCCUUCUCAAAGUCCGUUGGCUCUCCGUCCUCGCUGUCCUCUCUCUUCAGAUGCCUCACACUGAUCUUUCCGAUCUGCAUCAUGGGCUUAGCGAGCAGUCUAUCCGUGUUCGCGUGUCUCGUCUCUGGCAUUAUCGCGGUGGUCUUGAGGAUGGCCCUACCAAGCUUCUGCACAUGGUUCUUGUAGAUGCUAAGGGUGACUCUGGUAAUGCAGUUGUGCCCACCGGCGUCCUUAACUGUUAUAUUGACAAGGUGCAUGAAGGGGUGGUCUACAAGUUCACCAAUUUUUCGGUGGUCCCUCGCCAACCAAUCCUAAAUCCCACUGAUGCAAUUUUCAUGAUAGUGUUCACACCCUCCACGAUUGUUACACACCAGUUCCACUUGAAUGAAACAUUCCCAGAGUGGACGCACAGGCUGACUCCGAUUGAUGCAUUGCCCCUGCCUAACGAUACUCCUCAAAACUACAUAGAUGUGAUCGGAGUUAUCACGGCGAUUUCCCCUAUUUGUAGCUUUGUGGUGCCUAACACCGUUAUCCACGUCAUGAAGAGAUGUGUGCUUCUAUCUAAUAACAAUGGCCAUGACGUUAUCAUUACACUAUGGGGUGAAAGGGCUGUUCGGUUUAAUGGCCAAAGUAUAUAUUCUAUGGGCCAGACAGAUCCGGCUGUUGCCAUAUUUGUUGGCACCACGGUUCGUACCUACGAAGGUGAGACGGAACUGGCAGGGGGCUGUGCCUGCAAAUGGUACAUCAAUGCUGACAUACCAGAUAUAAACAUAUUCAGAAGCAUGUUACAAGUCUCUUUUCCAGCAAUUGAAGAUCUUCUCAGCCCACCUGAGACUAUACUUCAGACACAGCUGACUGGUUUGUCUCCCAGGAAGUUAUUGGCCCAUCUGAUGAACAUUAACUUGUAUGAGAAAGAGCCUGGUAUCUUUCGAUGCACUAUUAAGAUUCAUAGGUUAUCGUCUGCAAAGAUGUGGUGGACCACCUUCUGCACAUCAUGCCACUCGAUGUCUUUACCGGCUACCUCGGCAUCUAGGCAGCCAAAUAUCUACAAGCGUACACGUCGUUCUUGCCUUUGCACAAACGCAACACUUAGGUACACUCUAUUUGUCAUCGGCAGAGAUCAUUCAGGAAAGGCUGAAUUUGCGUUGUAUGGUGCAGUAGCAGAGCGAAUUGUUGGCGCAUCUGCCAUACAAGUCCUUCGAAGGAACGCACGACGUGAAGCUGAAAUUCCCAAUGUCUAUGUGGCCGCAUCGCUACUCAAAAAGACUCCGGUUGAGUUCAAUUGUCUACUAUCCAUGAAAUGCAGCAACGGUUCUUUCCAUUCCACCUCAUUGGCCGCCGCCACCCUCUCCUGCUUUUCCCCGGUCUCCGGUCGACGCGAUUCGGAUUCCAGGCGCCGGGCUCCUUCGACGUGA
rnacentral:rRNA from 1 species